UACGUAGGGUGCAAGCGUUGUCCGGAAUUAUUGGGCGUAAAGAGCGUGUAGGCGGCCCGAUAAGUCCGCUGUGAAAGUCCAGGGCUCAACCCUGGAAUGCCGGUGGAUACUGUCGGGCUCGAAUCCGGAAGAGGUGAGUGGAAUUCCUGGUGUAGCGGUGAAAUGCGCAGAUAUUAGGAGGAACACCGAUGGCGAAGGCAGCUCGCUGGGACGGUACUGACGCUGAGACGCGAAAGCGUGGGGAGCAAACAGGG
rnacentral:rRNA from 1 species